GUCUCGUCUUGCAGUUCUCUUCAUUUCUAUGUAUUCAACCCCAACACCUCUCCUCAUUUCGACGAAUGCAACCCCAGCCUGAACCAGUCUUAUCUUCCUGCGCCUCUCGUCUUCUUGGAUGUUCCGCGAGAAGCUAGCCGUAUCCCCAAGCAGAUCUUCCAGCUCUCUUCAUUUCUAUGUAUGCAACCCCAAGACCUCUCCUCCUUGCUAUCUAUGCAACCCGAAACUGAUCCAGUCUAAUCUUCCUGCGCCUCUCGUCUACUUGGGUGUUCCUCGAGUAGCUUGCUGGAUACCCAAAUAAACCGUCCAGUUGCUGCUAGGUGGAUCCAAUCUCGUCUUCCCGCGCCUCUCUUCUACUUGGAUGUUUCUUGAGUUGCCCAGCAGAUUGAGCUUCCAGUCCAGGUUAGUGCUCCAGCUCCUGUAAAUUCUUUUGGUAACAAUUAACCAGCCUUUACUUCUACAGUUUGUGGAAUUCUUUCUUAACACUUUCAGAUCUGAAAACGGAUAAAAUAUGACCUGUUAAGUAGAACAUGAUCUGUAUUCGUUACUAACAUGUACAUGAAAUUCCACUAGCGCAAGGCUGGGUCAAGAAAGUAUUAUAAUCUUAGAGGAAAUAAUGCAAUACCUUUACUAUUUCCAAUGACAAAAAAUAUUAUUUCAAAAGGUGCUUAGUGUUAGCAUUAAUCUUGUCAUGAUGUAUCAGCAUGUUUACUUUUAAGUUUGCAUGUAGUUUAGAUGGUCUGGGGUAAUGGUACACCGGCAAGAUGUACGUGCGAUGUAAGUUGGCACGAGAUUGUGCAUGGUGAGAUGGUAGUGGCCGUGUGAGGCGGUGCACACGCGAGAUGCCGUGCUGUGUGAAGCACCUGCACAAGACCUGGAGCCAACGGCCUACAUAAGACUUAGCAGCAGAAUAGGCCAUGGAGUUAGCUAGUGCAUGCACGUAUGUAAGUUAGUUGAGAUAUGGUUGAGUGAAUCUCACUAGUGCAGAAUCGGGUUUUAGCGCCGGUUCGUAAGGGCCUUUAGUGUCGGUUCUAAACCGGCACUAAAGAGUGGGGACUAAAGAAUCGGGUUGUACGCGUUAUGCACAUAUAUAAAUAGAUUUUUUCGUAGAACCGAUCAUUAAUAUAUAUAUAUAUCAUUGAAUGUCUCACAAUCACCAUUAAUUUUUCACGCAUACACAUGUAUAUAUAUACAAUUUCUCCUACAUGUUGCCUUGGUGCCUUCGGAGCACGAUGACAAGUGGUUCAUGCGGCGGUAGCAGGUAAUAAUAUUCUCCUUUGGGAUCUAUGACCUGGUCGAGCAAAAAUCCCGCUAUUUCCUCUUGAAGUGCUCGUAUGUGCUCCGUUGGUAGGAGCUGCUCCCGCACCUCUUUGAAGUGUUAAGAAGGAGAUCAAUAUGCAUGUGUAUUAGUUGUGUGACUAGAUAUCGAUAAUGGUGUAAAAAUUGUAAAUAGUGUUCUGGCAAACGUAUCCAUUCCUGUCUUUGAGAUUUGCUCCUUUCGGACGCCAUCAUGCGAAUGUUCUCGAAAACGUAGUAUGCACACACAUCAGUCACCGGCGCCUGCUUCAGGUCCUUUACGAGAACAUAAUUUAAUCAGAUAAUAAUUAAUCAAGCAUGAUAAUUAAUUAAUGGUAUUGAAAUAAGAAUUAAAAAGAUGGUAGCUAGGUAGUACUACUGAAUUACUGACCUUGGGUCGACACCACAACAGCUUUUUUCGCCAUUUGCCUGGAGUCACCAUGAUGAACUUUGCCCAAGCCCUGCCCGCCGGCAAAGAAAAUUAAUAAAGGGGUUAUUAAAUAUAGUUGAUAUCAGGAAAUGACGAACUAAAUAGGCCGAGAUAUAGUUAAUAAUGAUUGAAAUUACCUGUCGAGUAUCCCCUUCACGAUGAUGAAGUCACUUUCUUUCUUAAGUAGUGAGUCCAGUACUUUAACUUUUCCUUCUUCAACUUUAAUGUCUAACAAGACCCAGUGGAAACUGCAUGCGCACACGUUUGCAUGUCUUAAUUAAGCGGGCAUGU